rnacentral:tRNA from 1 species
GCCUCUGUAGCUCAGUUGGUAGAGCAUUGGUCUGAAGUACCAAGUGUCGGCGGUUCGAUCCCGUCUGGAGGCACCA